GGCGGGGUAGCGCAGAGGUAGAGCGGCGGGCUCAUAACCCGCAUGUCGCCGGUUCGAUCCCGGCCCCCGCAA
rnacentral:tRNA from 1 species